rnacentral:rRNA from 1 species
AAUGAACGCUGGCGGCAGGCCUAACACAUGCAAGUCGAGCGGAGCGGCGGACGGGUGCGUAAUGCCUAGGAAUCUACCUGGUAGUGGGGGAUAACGUCCGGAAACGGGCGCUAAUACCGCAUACUUUCAGAUGAGCCUCGGUCGGAUUAGCUAGUAGGUAAGGUAAUGGCUUACCUGGGCGACGAUCCCUAGCUGCUCUGCGAGGAUGAUCAGCCACACUGGGACUGAGACACGGCCCAGACUCCUACGGGAGGCAGCAGUGGGGAAUAUGGCACAAUGGGCGAAAGCCUGAUGCAGCCAUGCCGCGUGUAUGAAGAAGGCCCUAGGGUUGUAAAGUACUUGCAGGCGGGAGGCGUUACCGACAGAAGAAGCACCGGCUAACUCCGUGCCAGCAGCCGCGGUAAUUC